AAUGCGGGCGAGCUGAUGCAGCAUGCCGCGUGUGGGAAGAAGGCCUGAGGGUUGUAAACCUCUUUUUUUGUGAGGAAGGGGUGAUUUGUUAAUACCUAUCUACCUUGACGUUAACUUUAGAAGAAGCACCGGCUAAUUCAGUGCCCGCAGCCGCGGUCAUACUGAAGGGGCAAGCGUUAAUCGGAAUUACUGGGCGUAAAGCGCGCGUAAGCUCUUUGUUAACUCGGAUGUGAAAGCCCUGGGCUCAACCUGGGAACUGCAUUCGAUACUGAAGGACUAUUUCAUGUUAAAGGGAAAUGGAAUUCCAGGUGUAAAGGAGAAAUGCGUACAAAUCCACUUGAACACCCAUGGCGAAACACUCUUCCUGGGACAAUACUGACGCUAAGGUGCGAAAACCCCCAGAGCAAAAAGGGAUUAGAUACCCCCAAUAGUCA
rnacentral:rRNA from 1 species